UGGCAGAUGCCUAUGGGUUGUAACCUCUUUUAUUGGGGAAGAUUUUGACGGUACCCAAUGAAUAAGCAUCGGCUAACUCCGUGCCAGCAGCCGCGGUAAUACGGGGGAUGCAAGCGUUAUCCGGAAUCAUUGGGCGUAAAGAGUCUGUAGGUUGCAUAAUAAGUCUACUGUUAAAUAUUAGAGCUCAACUUUAAGCAAGCAGUAGAAACUAUUAUGCUAGAGUAUGGUAGAGGUAGAUGGAAUUCCCAGUGUAGCGGUGAAAUGCGUAGAUAUUGGGAAGAACACCAGAAGCGAAAGCGAUCUACUGGGCCAUAACUGACACUGAGAGACGAAAGCUAGGGGAGCAAAAGGGAUUAGAUACCCCCAGUAGU
rnacentral:rRNA from 1 species